UACGAAGGGGGCUAGCGUUGCUCGGAAUCACUGGGCGUAAAGGGUGCGUAGGCGGGUCUUUAAGUCAGGGGUGAAAUCCUGGAGCUCAACUCCAGAACUGCCUUUGAUACUGAGGAUCUUGAGUUCGGGAGAGGGAAGUGGAACUGCGAGUGUAGAGGUGAAAUUCGUAGAUAUUCGCAAGAACACCAGAGGCGAAGGCGGCUCACUGGCCCGAUACUGACGCUGAGGUGCGAAAGCGUGGGGAGCAAACAGG
rnacentral:rRNA from 1 species